rnacentral:rRNA from 1 species
GGCCGCGGUAAUACGGAGGGAGCUAGCGUUGUUCGGAAUCACUGGGCGUAAAGCGCGCGUAGGCGGUUACUCAAGUCAGAGGUGAAAGCCCGGGGCUCAACCCCGGAACUGCCUUUGAAACUAGGUGACUAGAAUCUUGGAGAGGCGAGUGGAAUUCCGAGUGUAGAGGUGAAAUUCGUAGAUAUUCGGAAGAACACCAGUGGCGAAGGCGACUCGCUGGACAAGUAUUGACGCUGAGGUGCGAAAGCGUGGGGAGCAAACA